rnacentral:rRNA from 1 species
CAGUAGCCGCGGUAAUACGGAGGGAGCUAGCGUUGUUCGGAAUUACUGGGCGUAAAGCGCGCGUAGGCGGUUACUCAAGUCAGAGGUGAAAGCCCGGGGCUCAACCCCGGAACUGCCUUUGAAACUAGGUGACUAGAAUCUUGGAGAGGUCAGUGGAAUUCCGAGUGUAGAGGUGAAAUUCGUAGAUAUUCGGAAGAACACCAGUGGCGAAGGCGACUGACUGGACAAGUAUUGACGCUGAGGUGCGAAAGCGUGGGGAGCAAACAGGAUUAGAUACCCGGGUAGUCCCUGUCUCUUAUAC